AUGGCGCUCCUCCUCUUGGUGAUGGUCGGUGUUGUGGUCGGCGUGGUGGUGGCGAGCAGCCUGCUGCUGCGGUGGAACGAGGUCAGGUACGGCAACGGCCGGAGGAAGGAGGGCGGGUGCCUGCCGCCGGGGACAAUGGGGUGGCCGCUCUUCGGCGAGACCACCGAGUUCCUCAAGCAGGGCCCGAGCUUCAUGAAGCAGAGGAGGCUCAGGUAUGGGCGGCUGUUCCGCACGCACAUCCUGGGAUGCCCCACGGUGGUGUGCAUGGACCCGGAGCUCAACCGCCGGAUGCUGCUACAGGGCGAGGCCGGCGGCCUCGUCCCCGGCUAUCCGCAGUCCAUGCUCGACAUCCUCGGCCGCAACAACAUCGCCGCCGUGCACGGCCCGCUCCACCGCCUCAUGCGUGGCGCCAUGCUCGGCCUCGUCCGCCCUGCUAUGCUCCGGCAAAGCCUCCUCCCCAAGAUCGACGCCUUCAUGCGCGACCACCUUCAGGGAUGGGCAGGCGCCGUCGUCGACGUCCAGGCCAAGACCAAGGAGAUGGCCUUGCUGUCCGCACUCCGGCAGAUCGCCGGCAUCACGGCCGGCCCGCUCUCAGACGCCCUCAAAACAGAGCUAUGCACCCUUGUGCUCGGCACCAUUUCCUUGCCCAUCAACCUUCCGGGAACCAGCUACUACCAAGGCUUCCAGGCAAGGACCAAGCUUGUGUCCAUGCUAGAGCAGAUGAUCGCGGAGCGGCGGUCCUCUGAUGAUGUGCAUGAUGACAUGUUGGAUGCUCUCUUGAGAAGCGGCGGCGAUGGGGCCAGGGAAAAGCUCAGUGAUGAGCAGAUCAUCGACUUGCUCAUCGCGCUCAUCUACUCUGGAUACGAGACGAUGUCGACCACUUCGAUGAUGGCCGUCAAGUACCUGUCGGACCACCCGCGAGCUCUUGAUGAACUCAGGAGAGAGCAUCUCGAUAUCAGGAAGGGGAAAUCGCCGGAGGAAGCCAUCAGCUAUGAAGAAUUUAAGUCAAUGGCCUUCACUCGAGCUGUCAUCUUUGAGACGCUCAGAUUAGCUACAGUCGUCAAUGGGCUACUAAGGAAAACUACCCGGGAUGUAGAAAUGAAUGGGUAUGUUAUUCCAAAAGGAUGGAGAAUCUAUGUUUACACGAGGGAGAUAAACUACGAUCCAUCCAUGUAUCCUGACCCAAUGACUUUCAAUCCGUGGAGGUGGCUGGAGAAGAACAUGGAAUCGCACCCACACUUCAUGUUGUUCGGAGGAGGCGGCCGGAUGUGCCCCGGGAAGGAGGUGGGCACGGCAGAGAUCGCGACUUUCCUCCACUACUUUGUGACCCGAUACAGAUGGGAGGAAGAAGGCAAGAACACCAUCUUGAAAUUCCCCCGUGUGGAAGCUCCCAACGGGCUACAUAUCCGGGUUCAAGAUUACUGA
rnacentral:rRNA from 1 species